GACAGCUAGAUUGCUCCCAUCCUGUUCCAGCCACUGGAAGCCAAAGGAGCUCUGUGACUCAUCGAAAUUCCUCAUGCCUGUGUCUUGUCUCAGCAGAGAAGCACCAGCAGCUCUAACUCCCUAAUUCUUGAGGCAGGACAGAACUUGUUGGAGAAGUACAGCCUGUCUCCUCUCCAGGAAACCCCUCCUCGCUUCCUCUCUUGAUGCUGAGAUAAAAAGCUGCUGGCAAAGAAGCAGAACCAAACAAGGUUCUGGCAUGGAAAAUGGCUCUCGUAGCACUGCCAGAAGAAGGGAAUGCUGGAAAGAAGAUUCCUGGAGAUGGCUGAACUUCACUUUGCACCAUGCAAGCAGCACAAUGUGAGGCUGAAGAUGAACAGAUCCUGUCUCAAAACCGCUAGGAGAUCGUAGAUGGAGUAACAUAGAAAUGCUUGAAUUUUAUCUAUACCAAUGGAGUAAAAUGUAUUUACUGUAUUUGCAAAGUGACAAGCAGUUCAGUGGAGCUUCAGUAUUAAGUAUCAUUUACACCUGCUUUCUGGCUUGUUAGUGUCAGUGUAAGCAAAAUUCAAGUGUAUAUUGUCUUCUUCACACAGAUACAGGGAAAAAUUCUAGCAUGAAGGCUUUUUGAUGCUAAUAAAAACUGUUUGCCUAAGGACAAACUUCAGAGGAAUGAAAAUUUUACAGUAUCUCCUGAUUUUUGUCAGGCUGACUGUGUGUCACAGAAAUUACUUUUCUUGAGACAUUUCUGUGCUUCUUUCACCAAAACUUAGGAAUUAAAAAAAAAAAAAAAGCAUUCAUAAUGGGCAUGAAAUACUUAUUUUCAGCUAUCUGAAGUACUUGUCAAAUCUCUGGAAAACAUAUGGGGUUUGUCUAUCUUCAAUUUAGGCCCUUAGGUUUCUCCAGAUUUGUGGAUGCUAUCAUUAAUACUUAGUCAUAGCACAGAGCAGCAUUUUUGCUUUACUUCUGUUAGGUUUGGGUGUUUUUCCUGCUGCAAGUGAAAACAGAAAAAUAUUAAGAACCAGAAAUGAAUGUGGAAAAAUCUUUGAAAAUAAACUAACUCCAAUGCUUUAAAUUGUUAGAAAUAAGACAUAUGUAAAUGAUUUGUUUGUGUUUGUUUAAAGAAGUUCUGUUUAAUGUUAAUUUAGUGAAAUUCAACCAUUGCAUAAACUUCUAAGAAUUAUCUGAAGAUUCCUAGGAAGAUUAAUUGGUCUUUUUUUUUUUUUUUGGAAUGGUACUUGCUUGCUACUUUUUGAAAUAAAGUUGAAGAGAAUGAGACUACAUAAAAUUUUGAAUCCUUCUUAACCAACAAAAGAAAACACAAAAUAUAAUGCAAAAUACUUUGGCUGAUUUGACUAAAAUAUGUUUAAUCCCAUGCAGCUGUGCAGAAUUGAAAGUAAGGCGAGCUCCUGAGCACCUUUGUAGACAGCUCUGAGCCCACAGCAAAUCAGUGAUCACAGAAAUGGUCCUGACACUUCUGGACAGGGCUGACUGCAAGCACAGGCAUUUAAAAAAGGGGAGAGCUGCUGGUUAAAAUUAGAUGUCAGUGCAAACCUCCUUGUCUUGCAGUGGAAGUGCUGCAGGGAGAGGAGCACGGCAGCACGUGGUGAAUGCAAGCCUUUGCUGCAGACACCGCUGUGUGCAUGCACGCUGGCACAUGUGCUGCAGAGGCACACAGAAAUACAGGAAUAUACACACGUGCUCAGAAGAUGUGGUUUUCUACGCUCCAGUGGUGCCUCUGUGACUGUUUCACUACAGCCCUGGAUAGACACAGCAGGGUCACUACACACACGGUUACACAGGACUUGUUUUAACCUCAGAUGGGGACAUUCAAAACAAAUUUGUUGCCAGAUCCCAAAACUGUGUCUGUGCAGAAAGGCAGGGAGGAGUGGCAGGGAGCAUAAAAGGCAGGAGGGGAAUCCAGGGGACUUCUUGGUUUCUAGAAAAACACACUCUCCUGCUGAUUGUUCUAGGUUACUCUUCUGCUGAUAAAGUGGAGAUUCUAAAUUGUUAAUUAAAUCAUUAGUAAUUAUUACAGUAUUACCCUAAAAUAAUUUAAAUUAUAUUGAUUCUAUUAAAUUCUAAUGAAUUUAGCAUUAAGUGACAUGUAGGUAUUAGGAAAAUCAGUCUUGAUUAUUUCAUAAAUCUGUAAAGCAAUUCACCUUCAAAACUCUGGGCUAACCCUGGCCAUGUAGCUGCCAAGUGUCUCCAGCUAGUGCUUCUUUUGUAUCAAAUUAAGUCAGUCAGCUCACAGAAAGAAAAUGUUCUUGUUUUCUUUUUUUUCCCCUCAUGUAUAUGUUGCAUGAAUUCUACUUUAACAUGCUGUUCUAGCUACUAAUAAAUAUUCUGCUGAAUUAUUUCCAGAGUAAAUUCUACUUAAAAAUUAAACUCAGGUGACUACCUUUUUUUUUACUUUUCAACUAACAAACUCAAAAAUCAAAUGUAAGCAUGAAGCAAGUACUAAGCUCAGGUCAGAACAUUAACUUAUGGUUGAAGUACCAGCUGCCAGUGAUGUCUGAAUCAGGAAAAAAAUCAACUCAUCUUCUCCCUUUCUAGCAGAGACUUAAAAUUUGAGUUAUUAAAUAAAUAAAUCAUCUUUGCUUAUGCUUGUUAUUUUAAACUAUAUUUACUUCAUUUACAAUAUAAACUGUGCUGUCAUAUUUUGAAAAGCUACUUUCUGGCAGAGAGCUAGACUUUUUCUUUUUGUAAAAAUAAUACACAGCAGCAAAGCUGAAGAUGUCGACUCUUACUGAAAGUGUUUUUUUUUUAAUUAAAGAAAGGCUGCACUACCAAAAAAGAGAGAGUAUGAGGCAGACUGUGCAGAAUCUCUCUGUGUGGGUUGCCUUCCUUGUUACAGGAGCAGAACAGUGAGAACCUUUUCAUCUUUGUCUUUCAAGCAAGGGACACAGACAUGGGAGUUUCAUCUGGGGUACAUCAGAUAAAGAACCACCUCUAGUGUUAUUUACACCCAAAAAUAUAUUCACACACAGAGAUAGUGGUAAUUAAAUUUACUAAUACUUUUAGUGGGAAUUUUCAAAUUCUGAGAUUAUUUUAGAGAUCUUGAAAUAAUUUUAAAUGGUUUUAAGCAAAUAGGAUCUGUUUUAAAAGACAGACAAUACAAGGUUUUAUAAUGUUCUACACUUGAGUGUAUCUUCUGAAAGCAAGAGUCUGUUUUGAGAAAUAAGGCUUGUGCCCAGUGCACAGUCCUUAGCUGGCUAUAGCAGUUUAUCACAGAGAGUUCUUGACACAUAAUCUAAAGUAUAAUACAAAUGCAUUAGACUACCUCUUCAUUUCAGCAAUCUGGUUUUAAUUUUUAUUAGGUCUCUAGAUUAUAUAGGGGCUAUCAAAUAUUCAG